AUCAGUAACCUAGCUCAAAUUUGGGCUUCAGCUUCCCAGGCAACUGGUUCAAGCCACUUCCAUGCACACCCGUUGCAUUAAGCAUACCUCUGGCAAGCACCAGCUCCAUCCUCUGAAAGCUUUGUCAGAACAAACAUCAGACUUUCCAGUUAUCCCAUCUGACUUUGCACCUUGUCAUCCACCCUUUACACCUUCUUCCUCACCCUUUCUUCUUCUCCUGCCGCAUGCACACCCUGGAUGAAAGACUCAGAUAAGAUGGAAGAGGCCAACUUACGGGAGCAGCAAGUCUGUCCUAGCACCAAUCCACCCUCCUACUCAGGGCCAGGUGAAUCAUGUGGCUGUCCAAGACCUUUUAGAGAGCUGCCUGACUGCUGCACUUGAGAGCUACGCGAGUUCUGUUUGGGACGUCACUUACAUCUUUGCCCAGAUUGUGGACAGAGUUGUCCCUCUGCAGAGUUACUGCAGGAAAAUGCUUUUGUGAAGAACACCCAGAGGAGACCAGCUUGUAUGCAAAGAGCAACCUUCAAUACUCUGCCUUAGAAGCUGACACCUGCCCUGUUCACACCAACGCAUUACCUCGCCACUCCCCAUGCCUUUGUGAGACUCCAUGGCAUCUGCACAUUCCCUACUCUGGCUGCUCAAUAGGAAAGCAACUUGGUGCAGAGAAAGUCAUCCUCAUAGACAGUGUAAGAUGGGUGUGCAAUGCCAUCCGACAGAGCAGUUAUUCCUGACCAAGGAUCAUCAGAGGCAUCAUCAAAAGUAUCAGCAGCCUAAUGUAACUUGUCCAACUGUACCCUAUAGGACAGUCCAUGAUAUCCUAUUUGCCUUAAUUCUGCACAGUAAGAUGUGUUAUAUACAUAAAAUCUCAGCAGGUCCAAGUGACUACAGAUGCCACUCCAAUCCAUGGUCUCCUCCAGGACUCCUUCCAAGGACCUGCCCACCUCUCUUCCAGCCUGCUUUUGCCUCCGAGUUGCUAAUAUGCUGGGCAUCUGACAACAUACAGUAGAAACCAUACCAGCCCUGCAAUCAAACAAAACCCUUGCAAGAGGAAAGUAGCUGGUUUUGAGGGUCCUUCUGAAUUCUCUCCUUAUUCUGUGAGGCACCCCUUGCUCCUCCCUGAAGAAUCUCCCUGCUGAUACCAAAGGUGUCUUUCCAUCACAGGGCACCUGCUGCAGCUUGACAGACUGGCUUGACAAUACAGCCUUUGAUCCCCUGCAAUCAGCCCCUGAAGGAGAGACACAGUGUAGUAGAGGUGACCACACUAUGCUGGAAACCAGAGAAGUCUCUUGUCACCUCAGCUUCUCUCUCCUUUACCCUUAGGUCUGGUGUUCCAGCUUAGCACUUCCUGGCUUUUCUUUCUUUAACUGCUUGUGGUGUUUCCAGGAAAUAGUCAAAGGUGGUUUUGAUUUGUCAUUUAAAGGUAACAAACAGCUGCAUGUUCUCAGUAGUUCUGUGUAUUCCUUUUCUCACGUAGUAGUGAUCCUCAGUAUUUGUUGGUUUCAUUCUUUCACAGGCAGUGUACCAUUGAGCUACUAAUGCUGUUUAGUAUUACAAUAAAUAGGGAACGAAAUAAUAAAAAUAAUAUAUUUGGCUUUUACUUGUUAUUUUUAAUGCUGUACUUUAAGCAUAUGUUGCACAUGGCAAAGGCAGAAAGAAGCUGGGACAUAAGGAUGAGCUCCCAAAUCAAGCUGCUACUGAAGCUGGCUUGGAUCCAGUCUCUACUAAAAAUGGCCCUUAAUCUGCAACGAGAGUGAUAAAGUCAAAGCUGCAAUCAACUGUCAUUAGCAGAGGAUUCAAAAUAUUAGCAUUUCCCCAGUGCAAGGAAUUUAGUCUUUCUUUUCCCUCCCACCUAUUUCAAAAUAAAAUGAGGCCAUGUGCAACAAAAGGAAGGAUAGCAUAGGUUUAAAGUAAUUCUUCCUCUGGGAUGCUCUGUGGCCAACUGUUUACUCUGUUUCCAUGCCAAGUGAGAGAUGUGGGUUCAAAUCUGCUUAGAUACAGGAAGAGAUGAACUUUCUACAUCCUGGCUGAGCUCUCCAAACAUCUGCAUUUGAGGUUGCCCUGGCAAAGUGCAUUCUGGCAUGGUCUGCUUGAACGCCAUAGGUGAGACAGAGGAAGAAUGCCUAUUGUGUUGCCCAGGCUUAGAUGCAGGGAUGUAACUUUACUACCUCGACUUGUCUAGCUGCAGGGAGCAAUGAGUUGUCCAGCACGAGUACAGAAGGUCCACAUGGGCUUGAUAAUCCUGCCUCUCCACUGUCCCAUUUUUUAUCAGUGGAAACAGUUUUUGCUCUGUUGCUACUUACCAUGGUGAAAGAAGCAAUCACAAAGCGACAACAAUGAAGCUGUCACAAUGAAGCUACAAUUAAUAUCAAGAGAAAUAAAAAAUUAAAACCUUCUAUUACAUUGUUUCCUGUUUGAUACAGCCACCGAGCCACACAAAACCUAUGGUAUAAAUUGCAUGGUUGGCUAAGUAGGGGUAGCACAGCAAUAGCUGAUUUACAGACUUUGUGGAAGAAGUUUGGGAAGGUACCACAAUCUGACGUCCGACCUGGAUCAUUUCCCAUUUUAAAGUUUCUGCACAACCAGAGAGCAACCUUGAAAAAGUUUAUUUUUGCUGUCAUGCCACGUUGUUGUCCUAAAAACCCUGGCUCCAUAUAUUUGGUGUACCAAGAAAUAUCUACUCUUUCUCCAAACAAGAGUUUAUUUUGACUUCGGAUUCGAAACAUUAACACUUCUGACAGCUGCAGGAAAGUGUUUGGUUUGCUUGGGUCCCUAAAUGAACGUUUAGUUUAACCUUAAUAGGGAAUUCUCUGAAUUUGUAGACCUUUUAUCUGGAACCAUCUCCAAUUAAGCACGAUGAAGAAUUAACAAAGCUAUUCACUCAC